rnacentral:rRNA from 1 species
GGGGAGCUUGCACAGGUGCUGCAUGGCUGUCGUCAGCUCGUGUCGUGAGAUGUUCGGUUAAGUCCGCUAACGAGCGCAACCCUCGCUGUGUGUUAUAUGUGUCACACGGGACUGCCGGUCUUAAGCCGGAGGAAGGUGGGGAUGAUGUCAAGUCAGCAUGGCCUUUAUAUCCUGGGCUACACACACGCUACAAUGGCCAACACAAUAGGUUGCUAAGCCGCGAGGUGGAGCCAAUCCUCAAAGUUGGUCUCAGUUCAGAUUGCAGGCUGCAACCCGCCUGCAUGAAGAUGGAGUUGCUAGUAACCGCAGGUCAGCUAUACUGCGGUGAAUACGUUCCCGGGGCUU